UACGAAGGGGGCUAGCGUUGUUCGGAAUCACUGGGCGUAAAGCGCACGUAGGCGGAUCUUUAAGUCAGGGGUGAAAUCCCGAGGCUCAACCUCGGAACUGCCUUUGAUACUGGGGAUCUCGAGUCCGGGAGAGGUGAGUGGAACUGCGAGUGUAGAGGUGAAAUUCGUAGAUAUUCGCAAGAACACCAGUGGCGAAGGCGGACUCACUGGCCCGGAACUGACGCUGAGGCUCGAAAGCAUGGGGAGCAAACAGG
rnacentral:rRNA from 1 species